AUGAACGCUGGCGGCGUGCCUAAUGCAUGCAAGUCGAGCGAACGGACGAGAAGCUUGCUUUUCUGAUGUUAGCGGCGGACGGGUGAGUAACACGUGGAUAACCUACCUAUAAGACUGGGAUAACUUCGGGAAACCGGAGCUAAUACCGGAUAAUAUUUUGAACCGCAUGGUUCAAAAGUGAAAGACGGUCUUGCUGUCACUUAUAGAUGGAUCCGCGCUGCAUUAGCUAGUUGGUAAGGUAACGGCUUACCAAGGCAACGAUGCAUAGCCGACCUGAGAGGGUGAUCGGCCACACUGGAACUGAGACACGGUCCAGACUCCUACGGGAGGCAGCAGUAGGGAAUCUUCCGCAAUGGGCGAAAGCCUGACGGAGCAACGCCGCGUGAGUGAUGAAGGUCUUCGGAUCGUAAAACUCUGUUAUUAGGGAAGAACAUAUGUGUAAGUAACUGUGCACAUCUUGACGGUACCCAAUCAGAAAGCCACGGCUAACUACGUG
rnacentral:rRNA from 1 species